rnacentral:rRNA from 1 species
UACGUAGGGGGCGAGCGUUGUCCGGAUUUAUUGGGCGGAAAACGCUUGUAGGUGGCUACGUCAAGUCGGCCGUGAAAUCUCCCGGCUUAACUGGGAGGGGUCGCUCGAUACUGGCGAGCUCGAGGUAGGUAGGGGGAAGCGGAAUUCCCGGUGUAGUGGUGGAAUGCGUAGAUAUCUGGAGGAAUACCGGUGGCGAAGGCGGCAUCCUGGACCAUUACUGACGCUGAGGCGCGAAAGCUAGGGGAGCAAACGGG